rnacentral:rRNA from 1 species
CAGUCGCCACGGGAACACGGAGGGUGCAAGCGUUAAUCGGAAUUACUGGGCGUAAAGCGCACGCAGGCGGUCUGACAAGUCAGAUGUGAAAUCCCCGGGCUUAACCUGGGAACUGCAUUUGAAACUGUCAGGCUGGAGUCUUGUAGAGGGGGGUAGAAUUCCAGGUGUAGCGGUGAAAUGCGUAGAGAUCUGGAGGAAUACCGGUGGCGAAGGCGGCCCCCUGGACAAAGACUGACGCUCAGGUGCGAAAGCGUGGGGAGCAAACAGGAUUAGAGACCCGUGUAGUCCCUGUCUCUUAUAC